UACAGAGGGUGCAAGCGUUAAUCGGAAUUAUUGGGCGUAAAGCGCACGUAGGUGGGCUGAUAAGUUGGAUGUGAAAGCCCUGGGCUCAACCUGGGAAUUGCAUUCAAGACUGUCAGUCUAGAGUAUGGGAGAGGGAAGUGGAAUUUCUGGUGUAGCGGUGAAAUGCGUAGAUAUCAGAAGGAACAUCAGUGGCGAAGGCGACUUCCUGGCCUAAUACUGACACUAAGGUGCGAAAGCGUGGGGAGCAAACAGG
rnacentral:rRNA from 1 species